CAAAAUCGCUUCAGAUUCCCAUGUAGCAGAACACUCGGUCAGACCUUUCCUUACUCAUAUUAUUUUUCAGUACAAUUGCUGAGUGACCUAGCUUGAGAAAAUGUAAUGGAACUACAUAAACGUCUACACAGAAGAGAUUGUGUAUAAAAGCUGUAUAAAUUAAAGGAAAUGCAAUUGCAUUUCUUUCAGUGACAUGCCAGCAAAAAAUAUAUGACUGCUGUAGCACUUACAAACAAUCCACAAUGAAUAAUUCACUCUCUGAGUCCAGAGUCUGUUUCUCAACAUGGAAUCAUCAUGAGCAGAUUAUAAUUUCCUUGAAUGUAUUCAUGAUCGGGCUGAACUUUGGUGAGUUCUUUUCCUUUGUGGGUUAACUGUCAGCAAUUAAUUGCAUGCCUGAUUCUUGAUAUUUAGCAUUUAAGGUGUGUUAAUUGGUGGUGAUGGGCUUUUAUUGAAUGCUUCUCAAAGGGAUCAGCUGGAAGAGAGCAUGGAGAAAAGUUUAUUAAACAAAUAUGCGACUUUGUGAAUAAGGAAGACUUUUUUUUCAGAAGAAAAUAUUUCCCUCUUAACUAGAGCAGAACCAGACAUCUGUUAUGCAAAAUAAAAAAAAGAUUGUUUUCUAUUAGAAACAAGGGAACGUUCACCGAGCGCUGAGGAGCCAUCAGGACAGAUGAAGAAAUCUGCCAGGAACCGCAGACACGCAAGGAGCAGUACACUGAGCCGGACAGACUUAAUCUCUGGCAACUAAAGAGUAUUUGAUAAAGUGUGUGGAGGAAGAAGAGAAGCGAGGGCACAGACUGGCCAUUAAAGCCGUGCUUGUACUGCAAUGAAAUGCAAGUUCUUCCAUAAGAAAUAUGUCCUGAGCAAAGGAGGUGGGUUAAGACCCAGCCAUGCACAAAACCCCUGUUGUACUUCAUUACUGGAGACAGCAGCAUCACUGAGCCUCAUCUACCACAGAUUUAGCAUUUGUCUUUUGAUUGCUUUGUGUCAGGCAUGCAGUGUCACCUUCUUGGCAAAGAAAAUACAAGAAGUCCGGGCCCAGUAG
rnacentral:lncRNA from 1 species